rnacentral:rRNA from 1 species
GAUGAACGCUGGCGGCGUGCCUAAUACAUGCAAGUCGAGCGAACAGACGAGGAGCUUGCUCCUCUGACGUUAGCGGCGGACGGGUGAGUAACACGUGGAUAACCUACCUAUAAGACUGGGAUAACUUCGGGAAACCGGAGCUAAUACCGGAUAAUAUAUUGAACCGCAUGGUUCAAUAGUGAAAGACGGUUUUGCUGUCACUUAUAGAUGGAUCCGCGCCGCAUUAGCUAGUUGGUAAGGUAACGGCUUACCAAGGCGACGAUUCGUAGCCGACCUGAGAGGGUGAUCGGCCACACUGGAACUGAGACACGGUCCAGACUCCUACGGGAGGCAGCAGUAGGGAAUCUUCCGCCAUGGGCGAAAGCCUGACGGAGCAACGCCGCGUGAGUGAUGAAGGUCUUCGGAUCGUAAAACUCUGUUAUUAGGGAAGAACAAAUGUGUAAGUAACUAUGCACGUCUUGACGGUACCUAAUCAGAAAGCCACGGCUAACUACGUG